GAUGAAGAACGUAGCGAAAUGCGAUACGUAAUGUGAAUUGCAGAAUUCAGUGAAUCAUCGAAUCUUUGAACGCGUAUUGCGCUCUUUGGUAUUCCGAAGAGCAUGCUUGUUUGAGUAUCAGUAAACACCUCAAAGACUUCAAUUUGUUUUGAAUGGCUUUGGACUUGAGCAAUCCCAACACCAGUCUUUACGAUCGGUGGAGGGUUGCUUGAAAUGCAGGUGCAGCUGGACAUUCUCCUGAGCUAAAAGCAUAUUUAUUUAGUCCCGUAAAACGGAUUAUUACUUUUGCUGCAGCUAACAUAAAGGGAGUUUGACCGUAUUGGUUGACUGAUGCAGGAUUUCACAAGGGUCGGCAACGAUUCUUGUAAAACUCGAUCUCAAAUCAAGUAAGACUACCCGCUGAACUUAAGCAUAUCAAUAAGCGGAGGA
rnacentral:misc_RNA from 1 species